GACAGAGGGGGCAAGCGUUGCUCGGAAUUACUGGGCGUAAAGGGCGCGUAGGCGGGAUGGCAAGUCGGUCGUGAAAUCCCUCGGCUCAACUGAGGAGCGUCGAUCGAAACUGCCGUUCUUGAGGGUUGCAGAGGAGACUGGAAUUCCCGGUGUAGCGGUGAAAUGCGCAGAUAUCAGGAGGAACACCGGUGGCGAAGGCGGUUCUCUGGGCCUGUACUGACGCUGAGGAGCGAAAGCGUGGGGAGCGAACAGG
rnacentral:rRNA from 1 species